rnacentral:ncRNA from 1 species
AUGAAUACAAGGGGAGAGUUUACUGAUAGCGUUUAUCUAUUAGUAACGCCGAAGGAGCAAACUUACGUGAAUCUCUCAGGCAAAAAGACUCUUGUAGGACG